rnacentral:rRNA from 1 species
AGAUUAAGCCAUGCAUGUCUAAGUGCAAGCCGUCCAUUAUAUACGGUGAAACCGCGAAAGGCUCAUUAAAUCAGUUAUGGUUCCUUAGAUAGUACCCACAUUUACUUGGAUAACUGUGGUAAUUCUAGAGCUAAUACAUGCCGACAGAGUUCCGACCAGCGCUGCUGCGACAACGUGUUCGCACGCUUCGUCGCCGGUGUUCGGAAGGAACGCUUUUAUUAGAUCAAAACCGGCCGGGCAGUUGUGUGUCGUGCGCCCUUGUGGUCACGGCCGGCUGUAAGUGGCCCGCGCAAUGACUUGGUGACUCUGAAUAACUUCGAGCUGAUCGCACGGUCCUGGUACCGGCGACGUAUCUUUCAAAUGUCUGCCUUAUCAACUGUCGAUGGUAAGUUCGACGCUUACCAUGGUGUUAACGGGUAACGGGGAAUCAGGGUUCGAUUCCGGAGAGGGAGCCUGAGAAACGGCUACCACAUCUAAGGAAGGCAGCAGGCGCGUAAAUUACCCACUCUUCGUUCGAGGAGGUAGUGACGAAAAAUAACGAUACGGGACUCAUCCGAGGCCCCGUAAUCGGAAUGAGUACACUUUAAAACCUUGGUCACACGAGGAUCAAU